rnacentral:rRNA from 1 species
CGUGUAGGCGGCCUGAUGUGUCAGAUGUGAAAGCCCUGGGCUCAACCCAGGAAGUGCAUUUGAAACUGUCAGGCUUGAGUAGGGGAGAGGGAAGUGGAAUUCCUGGUGUAGAGGUGAAAUUCGUAGAUAUCAGGAGGAACACCGGUGGCGAAGGCGACUUCCUGGCCCUAUACUGACGCUGAGACGCGAGAGCGUGGGUAGCAAACGA